rnacentral:rRNA from 1 species
CAGCCGCCGCGGGAAAACGUAGGAUGCAAGCGUUAUCCGGAUUUACUGGGCGUAAAGCGCGUGUAGGCGGUUUGGUAAGUUGGAUGUGAAAGCUCCUGGCUUAACUGGGAGAGGUCGUUCAAUACUGCCAAGCUUGAGGAUGGUAGAGGGAGGUGGAAUUCCGAGUGUAGUGGUGAAAUGCGUAGAUAUUCGGAGGAACACCAGUGGCGAAAGCGGCCUCCUGGACCAUUUCUGACGCUCAGACGCGAAAGCUAGGGUAGCAAACGGGAUUAGAUACCCGAGUAGUCCCUGUCUCUUAUAA